CUUGAUACUCCCACAUCACUACACGUAUAUACUCCCCUAACCAACACAUUUCCUUAGUAUCUAUGCUCCCACAAUACUACACGUCCAUACUCCCUUCCCAACACGUGUAUACAAAAAGAAAAAAAAGAAUAGGUACUGCAUACUCCCAGCCGUCACCAACGCGUCUUCCUCACCAAUUCCUACCAUCAACUCUCUCCCUCUCGACAUUCUCUUCACAAAAAUUAAGGAAACACCCAUCUCUAUUCAUCUAAAUCUCAACUCAGUAAUCGAUAUCGUCUUCUCUCUCUCUCCAUGUCCCAAAAAUUGGAGCAGCCACUCAUUCUCCGUCCCUUUUCUCCUUCGGCGACAGGUUCAUGUUGAAAAUAGUUUCAAACAAAAUGGCCAAAGAUUAUAUCUUGGGAGCGGUUACAGAUUAUUCAAGGAAUUAUUCAAGAAGUUGCAAGGAUGAACUAAAUUCUCGUGGCCUACUGUGAGUGUGCUACCAUGAUUCAUGAAAAUAUGCAGCAAGAAUUUCAUAUGUAAUUGGGAGAAAUAUACCUUUAUGUAAGGGAGAAAGAUAUUGCAAUUGCAGGAGGAAUGAAACUCACGGCUUUCUCCUCUGGAA